rnacentral:rRNA from 1 species
UACGGGGGGGGCAAGCGUUGUUCGGAAUUACUGGGCGUAAAGGGCGCGUAGGCGGCCGUUUAAGUUAGGUGUGAAAGUCCUGGGCUCAACCUGGGGACUGCACUUAAUACUGGAUGGCUUGAAUUCGGGAGAGGAUAGCGGAAUUCCCAGUGUAGAGGUGAAAUUCGUAGAUAUUGGGAAGAACACCGGUGGCGAAGGCGGCUAUCUGGACCGACAUUGACGCUGAGGCGCGAAAGCGUGGGGAGCAAACAGG